rnacentral:rRNA from 1 species
GACGAACGCUGGCGGCGUGCUUAACACAUGCAAGUCGAACGUGAUUUUUGUGGAAAUUCUUUCGGGAAUGGAAAUGAAAUGAAAGUGGCGAACGGGUGAGUAACACGUGAGCAACCUACCUUACACAGGGGGAUAGCCGUUGGAAACGACGAUUAAUACCGCAUGAGACCACAGAAUCGCAUGAUAUAGGGGUCAAAGAUUUAUCGGUGUAAGAAGGGCUCGCGUCUGAUUAGCUAGUUGGAAGGGUAAAGGCCUACCAAGGCGACGAUCAGUAGCCGGUCUGAGAGGAUGAACGGCCACAUUGGAACUGAGACACGGUCCAAACUCCUACGGGAGGCAGCAGUGGGGAAUAUUGCACAAUGGGGGGAACCCUGAUGCAGCGACACCGCGUGAGCGAAGAAGGUUUUCGAAUCGUAAAGCUCUGUCCUAUGAGAAGAUAAUGACGGUAUCAUAGGAGGAAGCCCCGGCUAAAUACGUG